GAUGAACGCUGGCGGCGUGCUUAACACAUGCAAGUCGAACGGAAAGGCUCCUGCUUGCAGGGGUACUCGAGUGGCGAACGGGUGAGUAACACGUGGGUGAUCUGCCCUGCACUUCGGGAUAAGCCUGGGAAACUGGGUCUAAUACCGGAUAGGACGAUGGUUUGGAUGCCAUUGUGGAAAGUUUUUUCGGUGUGGGAUGAGCUCGCGGCCUAUCAGCUUGUUGGUGGGGUAAUGGCCUACCAAGGCGUCGACGGGUAGCCGGCCUGGGAGGGUGUACGGCCAAAUUAGAACUGAGAUGCGGCCCGGACUCCUACGGGAGGCAGCAGUGGGGAAUAGUGCACAAUGGACGGGACCCUGAUGCAGCGACGCAGCGUGGGGGAUGACGGCAAUCGGGUUGUAUACUCCUUUCGCUAGGGACGGAGCGCAAGUGACGGUACCUGGAGAAGAAGCACCGGCUAACUACGUG
rnacentral:rRNA from 1 species